rnacentral:rRNA from 1 species
GCUCAGGAUGAACGCUGGCGGCGUGCUUAACACAUGCAAGUCGAACGAAGCGCUUAAACGGAUUUCUUCGGAAUGAAGUUUUUGCGACUGAGUGGCGGACGGGUGAGUAACGCGUGGGUAACCCGCCUCAUACAGGGGGAUAACAGUUAGAAAUGACUGCUAAUACCGCAUAAGCGCACAGUGCUGCAUGGCACAGUGUGAAAAACUCCGGUGGUAUGAGAUGGACCCGCGUCUGAUUAGCUAGUUGGUGGGGUAACGGCCUACCAAGGCGACGAUCAGUAGCCGGCCUGAGAGGGUGAACGGCCACAUUGGGACUGAGACACGGCCCAAACUCCUACGGGAGGCAGCAGUA